AUUGAACGCUGGCGGCAGGCCUAACACAUGCAAGUCGAGCGGAUGAAGGGAGCUUGCUCCUGGAUUCAGCGGCGGACGGGUGAGUAAUGCCUAGGAAUCUGCCUGGUAGUGGGGGAUAACGUCCGGAAACGGGCGCUAAUACCGCAUACGUCCUGAGGGAGAAAGUGGGGGAUCUUCGGACCUCACGCUAUCAGAUGAGCCUAGGUCGGAUUAGCUAGUUGGUGGGGUAAAGGCCUACCAAGGCGACGAUCCGUAACUGGUCUGAGAGGAUGAUCAGUCACACUGGGACUGAGACACGGUACAGAAUCCUACGGGAGGGAGCAGGGGGGAAAAUUGGAGCAUGGGCGAAAGCCUGAUCCAGCCAUGCCGCGUGUGGGAAGAAGGUCGUCGGAUUGGAAAGCACUUUAAGUUGGGAGGAAGGGCAGUAAGUUAAUAACUUGCUGUUUUGACGUUACCAACAGAAUAAGCACCGGCUAACUUCGUG
rnacentral:rRNA from 1 species